UGGGCAACCUGCCCUCAGCUCUGGGAUAACUCCAAGAAAUUGGGGCUAAUACCGGAUAUGACCGCUGACCGCAUGGUCUGGUGGUGGAAAGAUUUAUCGGCUGGGGAUGGGCCCGCGGCCUAUCAGCUUGUUGGUGGGGUAGUGGCCUACCAAGGCGACGACGGGUAGCCGGCCUGAGAGGGUGACCGGCCACACUGGGACUGAGACACGGCCCAGACCUCCGUACGGGAG
rnacentral:rRNA from 1 species